rnacentral:rRNA from 1 species
UACGUAGGUGGCAAGCGUUAUCCGGAUUUAUUGGGCGUAAAGAGAACGCAGGCGGUCUUUUAAGUCUGAUGUGAAAGCCUUCGGCUUAACCGGAGUAGUGCAUUGGAAACUGUGAGACUUGAGUGCAGAGGAGGAGAGUGGAACUCCAUGUGUAGCGGUGAAAUGCGUAGAUAUAUGGAAGAACACCAGUGGCGAAAGCGGCUCUCUGGUCUGUAACUGACGCUGAGGUUCGAAAGCGUGGGUAGCAAACAGG